CGCAGGAGGGCCCUCACCAGACACUAAUCAGAUGGCAGCAGCAUGCACUUGGGUUUGCCUCCAGAAUUUCUAUUAUUCAUAAAUGACCUGGUCUCAGGCAACAGAAAAAGGACUAAGACACUUCCCAAAUGGGACUUCUAAGAAAACUAUUGUUUUUCUGAUAAAAUGGUACAGAGUGUAGGGUAGGAAUUUUGAUCAUGAAGAUGAAAGUCCUGUACUAAGGAUUACAAAGCAGAAAGAGCCAGGAGCUUGAGACUUGGUUGACAUUGCAGUUGCCCUGCCAGUCCUUCCCUUGAACCUGUUACUAGAUGAGGGGAAAAAGUCAUCACAUUUGACCAAGGUGCAACAUCCGUGGUCUGUUAUGUGUGUAGAAACAGUCCCAGAGCCACUCUCCAGCCCUCCUGGUGCAAGCUGGGCUCUGCCACUUCCCUGUGGUAUAGCCCGAGGACCAGCACGUGAACUCUCUUGAGCUUUGGUUUCCCCAUUUGUAAGAUGAAGACAAUAGACUCUUCCCUGCUUGGACCUUGAGAGGAUUACAGGGACCUCCAUACCACUGAGCAUUUUGUGGGACUGCGGUUGUUGAUAACCCCCAGGCUUGUCCAUCCAGGGAAGGGGGAGCCGUAAGUGUUGAUGGAUUAGGUAAGGAAGGGGCAUCCGGAGGGACCGAGGUGAGCCCUCAGCAGUAACAAACAAGCCUAGAGACAGAACCCAAGGACAGAUCUGCCAAGUCCACUGACCGAAAAGCAGAACCCAAUAUGAGAAGUUGCCCAAGGCUAAGUCCUCCUGAGGUGGUUCUUUCCCGGGCAGGAAGCCAGGGUCUGGGCCCGAGUGGGCCCGGUGUGCAGGUGUGCACAUGUGAGUGGCUGUAGCCGGUGAAGAAUGCGGGUCCUGGGGCUACAGGCUGGUCCUCACACUUCCAUCACAAGGAUGAAGAAUUGAUGUGUGUGUCCACAUGCACCUUGCUGGACCUUGGCAGUGGUGGGUCAGAGAGUGAUCUUUUAAAAGUUGAAUUCUAAUUUCCUCAGUAAUCUGUUUAAAAAAACCUUUGCUAAAAACAAAAAACACAACAGCAGAACCCUUUGCUGUUUCUAUUUCUAUGCCCAGGAGUAGGAUUACAGCGUGACAGCUAAAGGGGUACAGGGUUUCUCUUUGGGGCACUGAAAAGGUAGCAGAAUUGAUCCUGGUGAUGGAUGCACAAUUCUGUAAAAAC
rnacentral:lncRNA from 1 species